rnacentral:sRNA from 1 species
GUAGAAUAUCUUUUAAAAAAAAAAACCCUGAUGUUCCUUUUUCUUUUUUUCCCCUUUAAUAAAUAGGAGGAUCGUUUAAAAAUUGAUGUAAUUGACUGGUUGGUAUUUGACCCAGCGCAGAGGGCAGAAGCACUGAAACAAGGCAAUGCAAUUAUGAGAAAAUUCUUGGGUAUGAUAUAUUUUUAUGCAUCUUCAAACUCCUGGGCUCCAUUCUUCUUCCUACCUCAGCCUCCCAACUACUCGGGAGGCUGAGGCAGGAGAAUCGCGUGAACCCGGGAGGCGGAGCUUGCAGUGAGCCGAGAUCGCGCCACUGCACUCCAGCCUGAGCGACAAAGCGAGACUCCGUCUCAAAAAAAAAAAAAAAAGUGGAAAUAUCCCUAGUGGAAAUAAUCCGUCUGUUUUACAUAUUUACGGGCUAUUUCAAAGCUUUUGUUCAUUCAGAUGAGAAAAAUGUCUUCAGUUGUAGCAGAGCUGUUUAUUUGCUUUUCCUUGUAGCAAUUUGCUGGGUCUGUCAGCCAUUACCCUGGAUAGUUGCUGGCAGCCCACCCGCUAGUAUCGGAAUUCAUUAUAAUUAGCAGAACAGAUUGCCUGCAGCACACUGAUAUUAUGGCAGCAACAGGAUUUAGGAAAAGCAAGUCUGGGUCCAUCCUGUGGGAUAAGAAAGUAACCUGCUGCUUUUCAGGCAACAAGGAGUCAGAAGCCAGGGGCACCCGGCCUCUUUAACAUAG